rnacentral:rRNA from 1 species
UACGAAGGGGGCUAGCGUUGUUCGGAAUUACUGGGCGUAAAGCGCGCGUAGGCGGAUUGUUAAGUCAGGGGUGAAAUGCCGAGGCUCAACCUCGGAACUGCCUUUGAUACUGCAAGUCUCGAGUCCGAUAGAGGUGAGUGGAAUUCCUAGUGUAGAGGUGAAAUUCGUAGAUAUUAGGAAGAACACCAGUGGCGAAGGCGGCUCACUGGAUCGGUACUGACGCUGAGGUGCGAAAGCGUGGGGAGCAAACAGG